rnacentral:rRNA from 1 species
GAUGAACGCUAGCGGCAGGCCUAAUACAUGCAAGUCGAACGAGAUUUUAUCUUUCGGGAUAAAUGACAGUGGCGCACGGGUGCGUAACGCGUAUGCAACCUACCCUUAACUGGAGGAUAGCCCGGAGAAAUUCGGAUUAAUACUCCAUAGUAUCACCAGAUGGCAUCUGAAGGUGAUUAAAGAUUUAUCGGUUAAGGAUGGGCAUGCGUGACAUUAGCUAGUUGGUGAGGUAACGGCUCACCAAGGCAACGAUGUCUAGGGGUUCUGAGAGGAUGAUCCCCCACACUGGUACUGAGAUACGGACCAG